AGGGUGCUGGUUCUUUGAAGUGAUCCAAAAUAUGCGACGUCCUUUCCAAUCAAUUGCUAUAUCAACGGGUCAAACUCCAGACCAUAUUGGGAUGCGUUAGUAUUUAGUCCACGGAUGAGCACAGUGGUAUCCAUGGAUUCUAAAUCAGUCGCCACGAUUCCCGUCGGGAGGCGAACAAGUAGUCCCACCAUGAUGAUGCCGGAAAAGAUCUUGGAAUGAUUUGAUGAUAUCUGGUAGGCAUACAGAGCUAUAUAGCAUUCCUCCGUUGUGACGUAAUUCCUCAUGAAGAAAUAAUAAACAUAAACUAUGUAUAUAACAUAACAGCCAGAUUAACCGAGGGAUAAACUCAUGCACUUUAGUUAUAAC